rnacentral:ribozyme from 1 species
AUUCUUUCUCUUGAUCUUUUUCUUUUUUUAUUAAUGAAAAACAAAAAAAGAACGAAAAAUGAUACCAUGUUUUUAACCUUUUAUACAGGUAUAUAUUUGUAUGUGUU